rnacentral:rRNA from 1 species
GAUGAACGCUGGCGGCGUGCUUAAUACAUGCAAGUCGAACGGAGACUGUAGCAAUACUGUCUUAGUGGCGAACGGGUGAGUAACGCGUUGGUGACCUGCCCCGAAGAGGGGGAUAACAGUCCGAAAGGAUUGCUAAUACCCCAUGUGGUCGUUUGGAUUAGAUGCCUUACGACUAAACGGAUUUAUUCGCUUCGGGAGGGGCCUGCGUCCCAUCAGCUAGUUGGUAGGGUAAUAGCCUACCAAGGCGAUGACGGGUAGGGGACCUGAGAGGGUGGCCCCCCACAAUGGAACUGAAACACGGUCCAUACACCUACGGGUGGCAGCAGUAGGGAAUAUUGGUAAUCUGGGAAACCGGGAACCAGCAACGCCGCGUGCGCGAUGAAGGCCUUCGGGUUGUAAACUGCUUUUAGCCGGGAAUAAACACCCGUUUUAUAACGGGCCCGAAGGUACCGGCUGAAUAAGCAUCGGCUAACUCCGUG